rnacentral:ncRNA from 2 species
AAAUGUUUUAUGAAAAUAGGUUUAAUAACUUUAAUUAAAAGGGAAGUUGGGUGAAAAUCCCACGCGGUACCGCCGCUGUAAGAGAGAAGUUUUCUUCUAUUAUGCCACUGUUUUUUAAUGGGAAGGCAGAAGAAAAUUAUGAUACUCGAGCCAGAAUAUCUGCCUAUUUUAUUCACUAUAG